rnacentral:rRNA from 1 species
GACGAAGGGGGCUAGCGUUGUUCGGAAUUACUGGGCGUAAAGCGCGUGCAGGCGGUUGUCCAAGUUGGAUGUGAAAGCCUUGAGCUCAACUCAAGAAAUGCAUUCAGGACUGGAUGACUAGAGGACCGGAGAGGAUAGUGGAAUUCCCAGUGUAGUGGUGAAAUACGUAGAGAUUGGGAAGAACACCAGUGGCGAAGGCGGCUAUCUGGACGGUUUCUGACGCUGAGACGCGAAAGCGUGGGGAG